rnacentral:rRNA from 1 species
UACGUAGGUGGCAAGCGUUGUCCGGAUUUACUGGGCGUAAAGAGCGCGCAGGCGGUUGUUUAAGUCGAAUGUGAAAGCCCCCGGCUCAACUGGGGAGGGUCAUUCGAUACUGAUCGACUUGAAGGCAGGAGAGGGAAGUGGAAUUCCGGGUGUAGUGGUGAAAUGCGUAGAUAUUGGGAGGAACACCAGUGGCGAAGGCGGCUGCCUGGACCGGUUCUGACGCUGAGGCGCGAAAGCGUGGGUAGCAAACAGG